rnacentral:rRNA from 1 species
CCUACGGGAGGCAGCAGUGAGGAAUAUUGGUCAAUGGGCGCGAGCCUGAACCAGCCAAGUCGCGUGAGGGAAGACGGCCCUACGGGUUGUAAACCUCUUUUGCCGGGGAGCAACGGGCGCCACGUGUGGCGCCACUGAGAGUACCCGGAGAUAAAGCAUCGGCCAACUCCGUGCCACCAGCCGCGGUAAUACGGAGGAUGCGACCGUUAUCCGGAUUUAUGGGGUUUAAAGGGUGCGUAGGAGGAGCGUUAAGUCAGUGGUCAAAUUGAGGGGCCAAACCCCUUCCAGCCAUUGAAACUGGCGGUCGUGAGUGGAAGAGAAGUAGGCGGAAUGCGUGGUGUAGCGGUGAAAUGCAUAGAUAUCACGCAGAACCCCGAUUGCGAAGGCAGCAUGCUGGCUUCCGACUGACGCUGAAGCACGAAAGCGUGGGGAUCGAACAGGAUUAGAUACCCCUGUAGUC